rnacentral:rRNA from 1 species
ACCCUGAUGCAGCCAUGCCGCGUGUGUGAAGAAGGCCUUCGGGUUGUAAAGCACUUUCAGCGAGGAGGAAAGGUUGGCGCCUAAUACGUGUCAACUGUGACGUUACUCGCAGUAAGUAAGCACCGGCUAACUCCGUGCCAGCAGCCGCGGUAAUACGGAGGGUGCAAGCGUUAAUCGGAAUUACUGGGCGCAAAGCGCACGCAGGCGGUUGGAUAAGUUAGAUGUGAAAGCCCCGGGCUCAACCUGGGAAUUGCAUUUAAAACUGUCCAGCUAGAGUCUUGUAGAGGGGGGUAGAAUUCCAGGUGUAGCGGUGAAAUGCGUAGAGAUCUGGAGGAAUACCGGUGGCGAAGGCGGCCCCCUGGACAAAGACUGACGCUCAGGUGCGAAAGCGGUGGGGAGCAAACAGGGAUUAAAUACCCUGGGUAGUCCACGCCGUAAACGAUGUCGAUUUGGAGGCUGUGUCCUUGAGACGUGGCUUCCGGAGCUAACGCGUUAAAUCGACCGCCUGGGGAGUAC